rnacentral:rRNA from 1 species
UACGUAGGGUGCAAGCGUUCAUCGGAAUUCCUGGGCGUAAAGCGUGCGCAGGCGGUUUUGUAAGUCUGACGUGAAAUCCCCGGGCUCAACCUGGGAAUUGCGUUGGAGACUGCAAGGCUGGAGUCUGGCAGAGGGGGGUAGAAUUCCACGUGUAGCAGUGAAAUGCGUAGAGAUGUGGAGGAACACCGAUGGCGAAGGCAGCCCCCUGGGUCAAGACUGACGCUCAUGCACGAAAGCGUGGGGAGCAAACAGG